rfam:Lactobacillus oris PB013-T2-3 contig00010, whole genome shotgun sequence.
ACAAAUCGAAGAGGCGCAGCCAACACCAGUAAGUUGGGGGAGUUCCUGCCGGACGUUGAUCCCCUCUGAACAGGGCGGCUGCCGAAGCACUUAACCGGGCGGCGGUUAGGCAGCUGGGGCGUGGUUGAAUAAAUCACGGACUGUCGCAGGACGGAUAAGAGCCUGCGUUGCGCUAUCGACAGAU